rnacentral:rRNA from 1 species
AUUGAACGCUGGCGGCAUGCUUUACACAUGCAAGUCGAACGGUAGCGCGCGGCUUGCCGGGGGGGCUAGUGGCGAACGGGUGAGUAACACGUGGGUACGCUCCCCUUAGUGCGGGAAUGAGCGUCGAAAACCGGAUUAAUUACGCAAUAGGCCCGUGGGCGGAAGCGGGGGAGCUUGGAAGCUUUAGCUGUUUUGGCUGGAGCGGGGGGAUAUUAGCUAGGUGGGGGGGUAAAGGCCUAACAAGGCGACGAUCUGUAGCCGGUCUGAGAGGGCGACCAGCCACCCUGGGACUGAGACACGGCCCAGACUCCUACGGGAGGCAGCAGUGGGGAAUUUUGGACAAUGGGCGAAAGCCUGAUCCAGCAAUGCCGCGUGUGUGAUGAAGGCCUUCGGGUUGUAAAGCACUUUUGGCGGGAACGAAAAGGACUGUGCCAAUACCACGGUUCGAUGACGGUACCCGCAGAAUAAGCACCGGCUAACUACGUG